rnacentral:ncRNA from 1 species
GCAGAGUAGAUGCCUGCGCGUCAAGAGAGCGCGGAUGCGAUGCCGCAUCCGCGCUCUCGGCAGUGCCGAGCGGACGGGGAAUUGCCGCUCGGAUGAAAGGGCUGACCCGCGGUGCAGGCAUCGCAUCCCGCUGC